rnacentral:rRNA from 1 species
UACGUAGGGUGCAAGCGUUGUCCGGAUUUACUGGGCGUAAAGAGCGCGCAGGCGGUCGUCCAAGUCGCGUGUGAAAGCCCCCGGCUCAACUGGGGAGGGUCACGCGAUACUGGUCGACUCGAAGGCAGGAGAGGGUAGUGGAAUUCCUGGUGUAGCGGUGAAAUGCGCAGAUAUCAGGAGGAACACCGAUGGCGAAGGCAGGUCUCUGGGCCACUACUGACGCUGAGAAGCGAAAGCAUGGGGAGCGAACAGG